rnacentral:lncRNA from 1 species
GUUGGGCUUUGUAAAUAUUGUCGAGGGAGUGUGAACAGGGCGGGACCAAAGUUGGGAAAAGAUGAAAAUGUGUUGCGCAAUCCGUGACGUCGCGUUGCUAUUGGCCAAUCGAAGCUCACUGUAGUUUCCGACCCCUACGGUAUUGACUGUUGAUACCAGCUAGUACUACGUAGCCUGCUUGCUACCACCAACAUGAGGGCGAAGACUGACGGGACCCUGACGUGAUGAGGGACAUAGAGCUUGCCACUGGAGAGGACAUGGGAAGGGCAAGAAAGGUAAAGGGAAGGGGAAGGGCAAGAAGAAAUACCCCAACCUCAAUGAUCUCGAGAAGAGUGCCAUCACUUUACCUUCCAGACUAGAGAGGAAGGUUUUCAACCCCGAGCUCCAUGAGGCGAGUGACAGACGUCAUUUAAGAAAUCGACAAAUUGAAACAUGCAAAGUUUGCAAACCAAUUUAAUUAAGCUAUGCACUGAAUUAACAGAAAGUUAAGGAGACCGGUUGAUUUUGUGCCAGUUAUAUCAUACUCAUCUACAGAUACUGUCUGUACUGGUGGAAAUAACUCAGGAACCUUUUUCAAGAUUCACACACAAAGACUUAUCGGCCAUUUAAUGUACAUGUAAUACACAAUUGUUGAAUUGCAUGCUUUCUGAUUUGUAAAACAAAUCCAAACCGUUUUGAUUCGUUUUUAUAAAAUAAUUUGUCAAAUAAUGUUAUUUAUUGAUUUAUGUGUCUUUGUCAUCUAUUUACACUUGAUGUGUUGUUGUGAUGUUCAAUGCCAUAACUCUCUUUACACUGCAACUCUAUUUUUCAAUAUCUCUUUUGUA